rnacentral:rRNA from 1 species
CCUACGGGAGGCAGCAGUGAGGAAUAUUGGUCAAUGGACGCGAGUCUGAACCAGCCAAGCCGCGUGAAGGAAGAAGGUACUGCGGUUCGUAAACUUCUUUUGUCAGGGAAUAAAUGAUGGUACUAUUCGCAGAAUGAGUGUACCAUAAGAAAAAGGAUCGGCUAACUCCGGGCCAGCAGCCGCGGUAAUACGGAGGUUCCGAGCGUUAUCCGGGUUUAUUGGGUUUAAAGGGAGCGUAGGCGGGUUGUUAAGGCAGCUGUGAAAGUCCGGGGCUUAACCGUAGAAUUGCAGUUGAAACUGGCAGACUAGAGUUACAGAGAGGUGGGCGGAAUGCGCGGUGUAGAGGUGAAAUGCUUAGAUAUCGCGAAGAACACCGAUUGCGAAGGCAGCGCACUGGCUCGACACUGACGCUGAGGCUCGAAAGCGUGGGUAUCGAACAGGAUUAGAUACCCGGGUAGUC